CCUACGGGAGGCAGCAGUAGGGAAUAUUGCUCAAUGGGGGAAACCCUGAAGCAGCAACGCCGCGUGGAGGAUGAAGGUUUUCGGAUUGUAAACUCCUUUUGUUAGAGAAGAUAAUGACGGUAUCUAACGAAUAAGCACCGGCUAACUCCGUGCCAGCAGCCGCGGUAAUACGGAGGGUGCAAGCGUUACUCGGAAUCACUGGGCGUAAAGAGCGCGUAGGCGGGAUAUCAAGUCAGAUGUGAAAUCCUAGGGCUUAACCAUAGAACUGCAUUUGAAACUGUUAUUCUAGAGUAUGGGAGAGGUAGGUGGAAUUCUUGGUGUAGGGGUAAAAUCCGUAGAGAUCAAGAGGAAUACUCAUUGCGAAGGCGACCUGCUAGAACAUAACUGACGCUGAUGCGCGAAAGCGUGGGGAGCAAACAGGAUUAGAUACUCCGGUAGUC
rnacentral:rRNA from 1 species